CCUACGGGUGGCAGCAGUGAGGAAUAUUGGCCAAUGGGCGGAAGCCUGAACCAGCCAAGUAGCGUGCAGGAUGACGGCCCUACGGGUUGUAAACUGCUUUUAUACGGGAAUAACGCGCCUUACUUGUAGGGCUUUGCAUGUACCGUAUGAAUAAGAGCCGGCUAAUUCCGUGCCGGCAGCCGCGGUAAGACGGAAGGUCCGGGCGUUAUCCGGAUUUAUUGGGUUUAAAGGGAACGUAGGCCGCAGGGCAAGCGUGAUGUGAAAUGGCCGGGCUCAACCCGGGACUUGCAGCGCGAACUGGCGGGCUUGAGUCGGCGGAAGGGAGGCGGAAUUCGUGGUGUAGCGGUGAAAUGCGUAGAGAUGACGAAGAACCCCGAUGGCGAAGGCAGCUUGCUGCAGCGGAACUGACGCUGAUGCGCGAAAGCGCGGGGAGCGAACAGGAGUAGAUACCCCAGUAGUC
rnacentral:rRNA from 1 species